rnacentral:tRNA from 1 species
GUAGUAGCAGUUCAGUGGUAGAAUUCUUGCCUUCCAUGCAGGAGACCCAGGUUCAAGUCCCAGCAAAUGUA